GACGAACGCUGGCGGCGUGCUUAACACAUGCAAGUCGAACGAAGAGCGAUGGACGCUUGCUUCUAUCAAUCUUAGUGGCGAACGGGUGAGUAACGCGUAAUCAACCUGCCCUUCAGAGGGGGACAACAGUUGGAAACGACUGCUAAUACCGCAUACGAUCUAAUCUCGGCAUCGAGGAUAGAUGAAAGGUGGCCUCUACAUGUAAGCUAUCACUGAAGGAGGGGAUUGCGUCUGAUUAGCUAGUUGGCGGGGUAACGGCCCACCAAGGCGAUGAUCGGUAGCCGGUCUGGGAGGAUGGACGGCCAAAUUGGGAAUGAGACACGGCCCAGACUCCUACGGGAGGCAGCAGUGGGGAAUCUUCCGCAAUGGACGAAAGUCUGACGGAGCAACGCCGCGUGAGUGAUGACGGCCUUCGGGUUGUAAAGCUCUGUUAAUCGGGACGAAAGGCCUUCUUGCGAAUAGUGAGAAGGAUUGACGGUACCGGAAGAGAAAGCCACGGCUAACUACGUG
rnacentral:rRNA from 1 species